UACGUAGGGUGCAAGCGUUGUCCGGAAUUAUUGGGCGUAAAGAGCUCGUAGGCGGUCUGUCGCGUCGGCUGUGAAAACCCGGAGCUCAACUCCGGGCCUGCAGUCGAUACGGGCAGACUGGAGUUCGGCAGGGGAGACUGGAAUUCCUGGUGUAGCGGUGAAAUGCGCAGAUAAUCAGGAGGAACACCGGUGGCGAAGGCGGGUCUCUGGGCCGAUACUGACGUGAGGAGCGAAAGCGUGGGGAGCGAACAGG
rnacentral:rRNA from 1 species